UAGGGUUAGAACGAGCGUCGUUCCCCCUUCCCUCUCUCAGAACUCUCACCCUCUCGUUUCGUGCGGUUUCCGGCGAUAAGCGCCGCCGUGAAUCACCGUCUCUAAUCAUCACCCCGUAAACAUAAAUCCCUACUCAUUUCCGAUCCUAAACACAAACCCCUUAUCAAUUUCUCUUGAAUGGUACGCAAACGGCCAGAUCGACUGAUCCGAACACCUAACCCUAACUCCCCCUAAUCGGAGCGAAAAUCUCGCAAUUGACGGGAGAACGUGCGAAGUGGAGUGAUGAGCAGCAUCAAUCAAGCUAGAGAAUCGGAGAAGACAGAGUUUAAAGGGAGUUACCUACCGGAGCAGUUCCGGCGACUCUUCGAGGACUGUGUGCUGGCGAAGUAAACGCGUCGGAGAAUUUCAAUUCAGGACUGCCAGUGGAUUAAUAGGCUUGGUUUAGGGACUUUAAACUCGAAGCGGGCUCGGUUUCAGAUUGAUUGUGAAGCAUAAGUUCCAGGGAUGUACAGCAGGUCGAACAACAAGGUGCCGCAAGCUUAGCUCGGGCUAUCAUGACUUGAUGUAAGUGAAGUUUUAGAAAUGGACCAAAGUUAUGCAGGCUGAUUGAGGCCACGAAGGGAAUCAGGUCAUGCUUGGAAACUCUUAGAAGCUUUGUUGGACAUGGAGCAAAAUGAAGAUUAAAAGGAAAUGGGUCAAUUAAAAAAAGCAACAAGUUUUAGGAGGUCAAUUGUAGAAGGUUAAUGGUCUUCGGUUCUGGUCAAAGUCAAUGGUCAACAGUUGACCGAAAGUCAACUGUUGACUUUAGUCAACUCUUGUAUUUUAUUUUUUUUUGGUAUAAUUUGUUGUAUUCGAAAUGAAUGGAAUUUUGACCAAUGGUAAUGAGAGGUGAACAUCCUCGUAAA